ensembl:snRNA U5 U5 spliceosomal RNA
CACUCAUGUUUCUUUUCAGAUCGUAUAAAUCUUUCGCCUUUUACUAAAGAUUUCCGUGGAGAGAAACACAAUGAGUAUAAGCUAACUUUUGAUACCCUGCAUAACUGUAGGGG